rnacentral:rRNA from 1 species
CCUACGGGUGGCAGCAGUGGGGAAUAUUGGGCAAUGUGCGCAAGCCUGACCCAGCAACGCCGCGUGAAGGACGACGUCUUUCGUGUUGUAAACUUCUUUUCUCAGGUACAAAGCAAGUUCCGGUACCUGAGGACUGAGCCACGGCUAACUACGUGCCAGCAGCCGCGUUAAUACGUAGGUGGCAUGCGUUAUCCGGAUUUACUGGGUGUAAUGGGCGUGUAGGCGGUAAAGCAAGUCAGAUGUGAAAACCAUGGGCGCAACCUGUGGCCUGUUUUUGAAACUGUAUGUCUUGAGUACUGGAGAGGCAGACGGAAUUCCUAGUGUAGCGGUGAAAUGCGUAGAUAUUAGGAGGAACACCAGUGGCGAAGGCGGUCUGCUGGACAGCAACUGACGCUGAGGCGCGAAAGCGUGGGGAGCAAACAGGAUUAGAUACCCUUGUAGUC